rnacentral:rRNA from 1 species
GACGAACGCUGGCGGCGUGCUUAACACAUGCAAGUCGAACGGAAAGGCCCUGCUUUUGUGGGGUGCUCGAGUGGCGAACGGGUGAGUAACACGUGAGUAACCUGCCCUUGACUUUGGGAUAACUUCAGGAAACUGGGGCUAAUAUCGGAUAGGAGCUCCUGCUGCAUGGUGGGGGUUGGAAAGUUUCGGCGGGUGGGGAUGGACUCGCGGCUUAUCAGCUUGUUGGUUGGGUAGUGGCUUACCAAGGCAUUGACGGGUAGCCGGCCUGAGAGGGUGACCGGCCACAAUGGGACUGAGAUACGGCCCAGACGCCUACGGGAGGCAGCAGUGGGGAAUAUUGCACAAUGGGCGGAAGCCUGAUGCAGCAACGCCGCGUGCGGGAUGACGGCCUUCGGGUUGUAAACCGCUUUCGCCUGUGACGAAGCGUGAGUGACGGUAAUGGGUAAAGAAGCACCGGCUAACUACGUG